CCUACGGUAGGCAGCAGUGAGGAAUAUUGGUCCAUGGACGAGAGUCUGAACCAGCCAAGUAGCGUGAAGGACGACUGCCCUAUGGGUUGUAAACUUCUUUUAUAAAGGAAUAAAACGCGGCACGUGUGCCUUUUUGCAUGUACUUUAUGAAUAAGGAUCGGCUAACUCCGUGCCAGCAGCCGCGGUAAUACGGAGGAUCCGAGCGUUAUCCGGAUUUAUUGGGUUUAAAGGGAGCGUAGAUGGGUUGUUAAGUCAGUUGUGAAAGUUUGCGGCUCAACCGUAAAAUUGCAAUUGAUACUGGCAGUCUUGAGUACAGUUGAGGUAGGCGGAAUUCGUGGUGUAGCGGUGAAAUGCUUAGAUAUCACGAAGAACCCCGAUUGCGAAGGCAGCUUACUAAACUGUGACUGACAUUGAUGCUCGAAAGUGUGGGUAUCAAACAGGAUUAGAUACCCGAGUAGUC
rnacentral:rRNA from 1 species